UUUGCCAAAGAGGGUGCUUAAGAAGGUAUGAUCUCAUUCCAGGCCAAACCUGGGGUCAGUUGCCCCAUCCGGGUCUACUGUUGGUAGACAGGAAGAGGAGCAGGGGUGAAGGACCAUAUUGACAUCGGGGCCAAGGAAGGAGCCUGAGCUCCAGGUGCAUCAUGGGAGACCUGGCCCCCUGUUCCAACCCUGCUUCCUCAGGAAAUGAUGGUGCAGACAAGACUGGACAGGAGGGAAGCCAUAGAGCAGCCCCGAACCGGACCACCGACCCCAUGGACAGCGGAGGACUGACCAGCUACCCACCGGAUGCUAUGGACACUGAUAGAUUGCGCCGGCCCCCCGUUGGGCAAUUGGUUGGCACUGGGCUGCUGCCCCCUGGCCACCGCCACUGCCCCCCAGACACCCCCUCCCUCCCACCUCCAAGCCCACAAUUGUAUCCCCUCCUUCCAGACCAUGCCAUUUCCUUUGGGGGUCAAGGGUCAAACACCGCAUCAGAGGGGCCAAACCAGUCCCGUGCAACUCCAGGAGAGGAUGGAGGUGUGUGCGUGUGUGUGCACCUCAUGCGUGAGAGUGAGGGCCGGGAGCAGAGCAGGGUGAGAGGGGCCGCCCCUCUUUGGGCCGGUAGAGGGUUAUGGAAACAGGGGUCUAGAGCUUCAGGCAGGUGCUCCGUGGAAGGACCUGAGAGUGGGUGUGAAGUCGCCCCGGGGCCCUUAAUUCUAUAGUCGGUGCGACUUCCUCCUGCCCAGGCCCAUCCUGUUGGUAGCUGUCUGCCCAGCUCUGGCUUCAAGAGUACAGACUCCCUCUACCGUCCGAGGGGGGUGCCCCUGGGGGAGGGGGAUACAGGGACAGAAGUAAUCAGGGGUGUGCCUGUCUCUGUGUAUGCGUGUGUGACUACCCUAUAUCCUCCAUCUCUCCUGGACGAGCAGAAUGAGAAGGGGAGAGGCCUAGCAGCACAUGCUAGAGUGGGAAGAUGCACAGUGGUUUUCCCCCAUCCUACCAACAGAAAUGGUACGGUCUGGCCCCCUCCUCUCCUCCUCCCCUCUCUGUCCCCUUGGCGGCCUGGGCUCUGUAAGCCCGAAUGCAUCUGUAUGAAAUUAAAAUGGAUACUUUUUUCCUCUUUACCGAGUCCCUUGAUCCAGUGGCAGCUGCCUCUACUCCCCAAAAGGAUUAUCAUUGGGGGGGCAUCCACUGUUACUUAAAGCAGGAGGAUGUCACCAGCUUCUACUAUGUAGAUUGACAACCUAGCCUCCUCCCUCCCUCUACAUUUCAUUCCUUUAGUUUCAGCCAGUCAGGGUAAGGGGUCUGGGGACUUGGGAGUGCAAAAAGAGAGGGUGAUGUCACCCUCUUUUUCUCCUUUCCUCUUCCCCGGACCCAGCCUUAGACUCUACAGAAGAAUAGAGCUCCCAUGGGUGGGGGAAUCUUAGAUUAUUUCUCCUUGCCCCUAUCAGCUUUAUCAGGCUGGGCUAGGCCUAAAGGCAUGACCCUCUUAGGCCCAAGAGACAGAGAGCGGGCAACAGGGGUUAGGUGGGCAGUGGUUCAGCCUGGAGGUUGUCCCAGGCUCCACUACGUGGUCAAUCAGUGAAUCAGUCAUGUUGAAGAGAUUUAAGUGACUUGCAGUGUGACUCUAGUGGUGUCCCUUUGUCUGGGUCUCUGCUUUCCCCUCCCCCUUUUCUAAUAAUAAACACAAUACGUGUGGUAUUAAGUGCUUAAAUGUUAGACUAGACAUAAUUCAUUUAUAUGCAUGUAUUCUCCCCGUCUAGUCUGUGAACUCCAUGUGGGCAGGGAAUGUAUCUACUCACUCUGCUGUAAUGGUAGUAGUAAUAAUGAUAAUUGCGG
rnacentral:lncRNA from 1 species